GCCCGCCUGGCGGAAUGGCAGACGCGCCGGCCUCAAAUCCCGGUGCCGCAAGGCGUACAGGUUCAAGUCCUGUGGCGGGCACCA
rnacentral:tRNA from 1 species